ACAUGGACCACAUAGGAGGACUGCCUAUGUAUGUUGCGACUCGUUCCCUUUACAGAAUGAGACCUCCUACUAUUAUUGUACCAAAAGUAAUCAAAGAAAGUGUAGAGAAGCUUUUUGAAGCUCACCGAGCUAUGGAUCACUCAGAACUGAACCAUACUUUGAUUGGGUUGGAUGUGGGGGAAGAAUUCUACUUGAGGAAAGAUCUUAAAGUUAGAGCAUUUAAGACUUAUCAUGUCAUUCCUAGCCAGGGUUAUAUAGUAUAUUCAAUCAAGCAGAAGCUUAAGCAAGAAUAUGUUGGCCUUCCAGGAGAUGAGAUUAAGAAGUUAAAGUUAUCAG
rnacentral:misc_RNA from 1 species